CUUGAAUCAGACUAGGAAAUAGGUGUGUUGUCUUGCUCCAAAGCAAAGCUGGAUAGGCAUUCACAGAUCCCCUUGGGAGCACCCCACUUACAGAAAAUAAAGAAGAAGGAGAAGGAGAAGAGGAGGAGGAGCAGGGAGGAGCAGGAGACUUCUGCAAAAUCUUCCUCCAGUUCCUGCGAGUGUACGAGUAGAAGGUGGCAACAAAAGGAAAGACCGGGUAGAAGAGAAAAGGUAACAGGUACCUACUCAUCGCUGAAACAGAUCAAGUGACCAUCAAGCUGUCUCUUCUCCCAAAUGCAAUCCUCCAUUCUUCAUGUCA